AUGAACGUUGGCGGCGUGGAUUAGGCAUGCAAGUCGAACGUUAGUUGUAGCAAUACAGCGAAAGUGGCGAAAGGGAGAGUAAUACGUAGGUACCUGCCCUCGGGUCUGGGAUAGCUGCGGGAAACUGCAAUUAAUACCGGAUGACGUCUCUGGACCAAAGGUGUGAUUCCGCCAGGGGAUGGGCCUGCGUCCUAUCAGCUAGUUGGUGUGGUAAUGGCGCACCAAGGCUAAAACGGGUACGGGGUGUGAGAGCAUGCCCCCGCUCACUGGGACUGAGACACUGCCCAGACACCUACGGGUGGCUGCAGUCGAGAAUCUUCCGCAAUGGGCGCAAGCCUGACGGAGCGACGCCGCGUGUGGGAUGAAGGCCUUCGGGUUGUAAACCACUGUCAGUGGGGAGCAAAUGCAUCAGGGUUCUCCCUGGUGUUUGAGCGAUCCGCAGAGGAAGCACAGGCUAAUUCCGU
rnacentral:rRNA from 1 species